GCCUGGCAGGGCCUUCCUCUCCUCCCUGUGAGGCUGAGCAGGUCACUGGAGUGGAGUUCCUACACGGUCAGAAGGGAACAUUCACCUGUCCUCCCCUACAGCCCUUCACUGACUACACUGUCACCAUCUCAGUGCCCCCCAGCACAGUCCUGUUUUCAUGGGUGAUUAAGACAAAAGAAACAGUGCCGCAGAAGCCGGAGCAGCUGCAGCUGAAUGCCAGCACUGGGACGCUCAAGUGGAAGGCGCUGCCCUCCUGCCAAGGGGAGAUCAUUGGGUACCAGCUGAACAUCACGGCCAGGGCCUUGCAGGACGGCGGCUUCCUGCAGAUCAAGCGGCUGAGGCUGAGCA